GGGGAAUCUUAGACAAUGGGCGCAAGCCUGAUCUAGCCAUGCCGCGUGAGCGAUGAAGGCCUUAGGGUUGUAAAACUCUUUCGUGGGGGAAGAUAAUGACUGUACCCCAAGAAGAAGCCCCGGCUAACUCCGUGCCAGCAGCCGCGGUAAUACGGAGGGGGCUAGCGCUGUUCGGAAUUACUGGGCGUAAAGCGCACGUAGGCGGACCGGAAAGUCAGAGGUGAAAUCCCAGGGCUCAACCUUGGAACUGCCUUGGAAACUCCCGGUCUUGAGUUCGAGAGAGGUGAGUGGAAUUCCGAGUGUAGAGGUGAAAUUCGUAGAUAUUCGGAGGAACACCAGUGGCGAAGGCGGCUCACUGGCUCGAUACUGACGCUGAGGUGCGAAAGCGUGGGGAGCAAAC
rnacentral:rRNA from 1 species